AAAAUUAUAAAAAAAAAAAAAAAAAAAAGAUAAUAAACAAAGUGAUGGCUUGACCGUUGAAACACAGAAAAAUCUAAAUCUAAGUGUUUGGAUAGUUAUAAACUAUUUUAACAUUACUUUGAAUGUGUGCUAUAUUUUUGAUUAUAAAUAUAUUUUUUUGGUUUCACUAGUUACAUAAGAUAUCUAACAUAUGCAUUUAGUACAUAAAAAGAAAAAAAGUUGUAUGUUCUGUCCAAUUAGUCUGUCUUCCUGCCUGCCUGCAUAUUUGCGUUUGUUUUUUUUUCACUUAUAUAUAUACAUCAACUUUAAAAAAAACUAUACUAUUUGUGUAAAGAGUUUAUUUUAUUUUUUUUUUGAGGAGACCUAUUUUUUUAAAAAAUGAAAGAUGUUCGAAAAGAGAUAAAUCAUAUAAAAGAAUUUAUUGACACAUUUUGUUUUGCAAAAAAUGUAAAGAUAGUUACUGAUGAAUCAGUUCUAAAAAAAAUUAACAAAACAUCUAAAGAAAAUAACACAAGUGUAGUUAAUUUGUAUUCUUCGUAUGCUUUAUGGCUGUGUAUGAAUGAAAUAUAUCCAGCAUGGUUUGAUCUUUCGAUUCAUCCUGCUCAGUUUGAUUUUGAAGCGGACGCCACCGAGUGUUUAAUCAAGUAUUUGAAUGAGUACCAUGAAAAAAAAUAUGAUAAAAUAAUAAAUAACGCGUUAAUAAAUAUUAACACCCUAACAGUAAGCCAUUUUAUUGAUAUAUACAAUUUAGUCAUACUAGCAGCUUUAGUAUCGGAUGAUAAACAAAGACAUAUAACUAAUAUUUUAUCACUUAAACAUGAAACACAAAAAUAUAUACACAAAAUUAUAGAAUAUUUAGAAAAAGAGAAAAAUCUAAAUCAGGAUAAUAAAUUAUUAACACAUAAUAAUUCUGAAAUUAGUAAGACAAAAAAAAAUUGCACAUAA
ensembl:lncRNA